UUUUAAAAAAUAGACCCCACGACUUGCGUUCACACUACGAUUAUUGCGUUCACACUACAAAGUUUCUACCUAUUUAUUCUCGUUCAUCUCUCUUUCUCUCUCUCUCUCUUCUAUUUCUCUCUCGUUCUUUCUCUCUCUCGUUCUUCUCUCUUCUCUUCCUUCCCAACAUCGGCGACGACAACUGAAAUUAGGGUUCCAAUUAUCCGCCGCCGCCGACGACAACAACAACAACCAAGGUAUGAUAUAGGGUUUCUAAAGGGUUUCUAGCCACCGUAAUUAGUAGAUCUAGGGUUUUUUACGGGUUUCUAGCCGCCGUAAUUAGUAGAUCUAGGGUUUCUUACGGGUUUCUAGCCGCCGUAAUUAGUAGAUCUAGGGUUUAUAGCGUUCAUGAUUCAUAUCUCUUUCUUUCUCUAUUCUGUAGAUGCCCUAUAGUUACUCUCAACCAUCCACGUCCGAAGCUAGUUGGAAUAGUGGAGAGGCGAAUGCCGAUGCAAAUUGGGGGGUUCCAGAAAAAUGUUUUUGUGGUAAGCCUGUAAAACUUGAAGUGUGCAAAACUGGUUACAGGCAAGGCGACAGAGUCUACAAAUGCUCAAUGCUUAAAGUAAGUUAUUGUGUUUUCAUUUCAUUGGAACAACAAAGUACAAGUGAAUUAUAUUUAUGAAGUCUUCUCUCUUUCGCAGGCUGAAGAGUACGAGUCCCGAAACCACCUUAUUCAGUGGUGGGAUCAGGCGGUAACUGAGGAGCUUGAGAUGGUAAAUCACAAACUUGAUUCCGCACUAAGACAUGGACAACUAGCAUGCAAUCAUGCUUUGGAGUCCAUCCGGGAAACUGUUCAUCUCAUGCAAGGCGAAAUUGAAACCCUUAAAGAAAGGUUACUCGCCAAAGAAGUCGAGAUUGAUAGGCUUAGGGCAUUACUUUCUACAUGGUGAUUAUGAUGUGUUUUAUGUUAUUGAGGAUGGUGUAUGGCAUUUGAACCUAAUUAUGUUAUGUUUCUGGAUUUUAUGUAAUAUUUGAACCUAAUUAGACAUGUAUUUACCUAUUUUAAGUUAUGUGUAUUGACCGGCCAACUGGGACAACUUAGCUACUCUUGUAUUUUAAGUUAUGUGUAUUGACCGGCCAACUGGGACAACUUAGCCACUCUUGUAUUUUAAGCUAUGUGUAUUGACCGGCCAACUGGGACAACUUAGCCACUCUUGUAUUAUUGACCGGCCAACCGGGACAACUUAGCCAAACGUUUUGAUUUUAAUAAAAUCCUAAAACACAUAAACCAUUUCAGAAAAUAAGUUUGUCCUUUACACAUAAACUACGCAUAACAUUUCCAAAUACACAAAAAAAGUCCUAUUUCUCCAAACACCUACGAGUCCACACACACACAUAAGCAAGAAAGAAAAGUCAAAGUCCUAAUUCUUCUGUCUCUUCCUCGUUUGCUUCCCCUCAGCUGUAAACUCUUCCCCCUUAUACUUGGAAGGUUUCCUUCCACGUUUUUUCCCAGAUUCCAGAGUAGGACCAACAUGCUUUCUCUUCUUCUUCGAUAUCUGCUUCUUCUUCUUCUUCUUCUUAUCCUCUUCAUCGGACUCAUCGCUGCCAUCACCUACAAAAAUAUGUAACCAAACAUGUAAGAACUAUUGUGAAAGCAUCACUACACAAAAGUUCAACAAAAACUCACUUAGAGACUCAAUAGUUGGAGGUGCUGGGUCACGGCUUCCACUGUGAAUAACCAAGGCCUUGCUCUGAGUAUCCCUUGGCUGAUAAGACGGUGGCACAAAAUCAGCAGCUGAACCAGGACGCAUAUCUUCAUAACGGGCUUUUUCUGCCUCUUUCUCAAGCUAAUCUGCCACAUAUUCCUCUAUUCCUUGUACUCUCACACAAAUCCGCUUGAUUUCGCUAUCCAUCACAGCAAGCUUGUCCGUGAGCUUGUCAAAUCCUCUCUCCAUAGCUUCCUUGAACGAGAGAAUCGAUGUCCCAGGGAUUUCAGGUUCAGGUACAGCUGGAACAUCAUCAACAGUUUCAAUACGUCUACCAUCAAUGUCUGCUUGGUAGAGACUACGCCAAAAAAUCUUCUUUUUCUCUACGAUAAGCCUCUCUCUCCAGCUAUCAACAAUUGGAUCGAUAUAUCCAAUACCAUCAUCAACAUGCUUCUCUACAACGCGUGACAACAUUUUUCUCUCAUCCAUAUCAGGUUCCAAGAUGCUUGAAAUAUCCUGUCAAGUAAACAUAUAUUUCAAACACCACAAAGAUUAUAAACAUAGAUUUCAAGAGAACAAAGCUAACCAUUAUAUCUCCAAGUGCUUCAUUUAUUUCUUCCAAAGUAAAUCCCUUCAUGCAACUUUCACUGAACUUGUGCUUGCACAUUCUUGGACGUUCCUUGUCUGCAGGUACAGCUUCUCUAAAUCUCUUCCCAAGCUGCAGAAUGCACUCAAAUGCCAGAAUCUAGACAUAAAAGUAAAUGCAAGUUCACAAUAACAAAAUUUAGCCACUCAUAUAAUUUACUCGACUACUUACCUCAAGUAGAGUAAUAAAUCCAUAAAAAGCAGUCUGUGCCUUGGGUUUCACCACACCUUUCAUGUUCUUCAUUACUCUCCGCACCCCUUCCAUACACUGCUCAAAGGAAAAACGUCCCCACGGGAAUGUCUCACAAGCUCUGAUAUUAUCCACAAUCCUAAGCAGCAACUCCUCUAUCUUCGAAUCCCCUUUAGAAUCAGCUUUCAUAACCUUAGCUAAGAAUAACAGAAUUGCCAACUUCAACCUAGCAGUAGACUUCUCACUCUUAAACUCUUCCAGCUUCUCUUCCACGUCUUUAAUCUUGAUGUCCUCAGUCCUUUUAAACAACUUCUCAACAAACUUCAAACUGCCUAAAGUCUUAUAGUUUUUUGGGUACUCACGGCAGUUCAAACCGGUCAACAAUGCAUGCUCUUUAAUUAAGUACCUUAUAGGUACUCCAUUGACAACAAACCAACACUCUCUCGCCAAUUCUGUCUUAGCCGUGCGAACCAUAAGCAUCCACAUGCCUUGAAUCAUGUGAUUUGGCUCCUUAGGCAUGUGGAAUAUGUGCUUAAAUUGGUCAUGAUUCUUAAACCACUUCAGUUCUGCAUCCAAAGUCUCUAUAAAUUCCACUGUUUGUACCAACUGACACCUCGUUCCUAUCUUACACACCUUCGUGUAGGUAGUUGGAUCAAAGUACAUAACUUCUGGCGGCAAUGGUUGAUUAUCAUCAUCAUCAUCAUCAUCAUCCUGCAUAUUCUGCGGUAGGUUAUCGUCAUCACCAUCCUGCAUAUUCUGCGGCAGGUUAUCAUCAUCACCAUCAUCCUGCAUAUUCAAUUCAAAAUACUUUCAAUUCCACAUUAACUACCUAGUUGUACUACUUGUUCCUGAAUGACCAUUCACAAAUUUACGACCUAGUUGUACUACUUGUUUUAUCUGAAGCACCAUUCACAAAUCCAAUCAUUUACCAAUGCAUAAUAUCCUAAAACGAGCCUAAUCCAAAAAAUAACGGUCUUCUCUCAUACCUUAUUUGCUCCAUCAUCAUGUUGAACAACUGCAUUCGUUGCCUCCUCUUCUUCUGCACAAGAAUCGGCAUUUGGGUCUGAAAGAUCGUCAAUUGAAUCCCAUGCGACGGCGUUUGAAUUACCCAAAUCGGCGGCGUCACAAUCGCCGGUUGUAGGCUGAAUUUCUCCGGCUUCCUCUUCUGUUGUUAGAAGCUCUACGCCUUCUUCAUCUCUUUGGGGAAUCUCGGCGGCGGUCUCUUCGACUGAUGGAGGAAUUUCGCCGGUCACUUCAACCCUAGUUGAUUCAUAUUCUCCAGAUGAGUCUUUUACUCUAUCCAUUGGAAAAUAAAUUUGCGGAUAUGAAAGAGACAAAGACGAACGAAAACGGAGAAGAAAGAAGAAGAGAAGAGAUUGAUUUUUCCGGUGAAAUUGGUGUCGUCGGAGACGAGAGAAGACGACGACGGAGAGAAGAGGAAGAAGUCGAGAAGUUGAAAAGGGGAAGAACAUUUUUUACUUAGGUUUUUUCUGUAGUUUCUAGGGUAAAUAAUAUAACUGGGGCGAAUAUUUACAUUUUUUAUUGGUGCCUAAAUCUAACAAAUUAAGUUUUCUUGUAGUUUUCGUGGUUUCGCAAGAGUUUUUCGUCCUUUCCUCAUUUUUCGAUUUUAAUAAAAAUCAAUAAUAUUAUUCCAAGAAUGGCACGAGUGAUUAUUUCUUCUCAAAUAGUGGCAUAAGAGGUGAGCCUUCCAAAUUCUUCAACCCUUAAACCCAUUCAUUUUCUCCAGAAGAUUCUGAGACGAAGAGGCAAAAUUUUCUC
rnacentral:sRNA from 1 species